UCGGUUUUCGACCCAUUAUAGAAAAGAGGGAGAAGGAAUUACAGAAAAGAGGGAGAAGGAUUGAAGAUACCGAAGUAAUCUUAACUUGUUCAAGGUAGAGAGGAAUUGUUUCAAAAUAUAGAAACCCCAGUAUUGAUAACAUAUUUGUUCUUCUUCUGCGACAGCAUGAGGGGGAAGGUAAAGAUGAAUAUUUCUAUAGUUUUUGCAUAGCAAAUGAUGUCCAGUUGGUGCAUGUGAGAUUCGUGCAGGCACGUCACUCCAUAGAAGAGAGGGACAACUAACGAGGGUUUUGGAAAUGAGGGUGGGUUUGACUAGAAAAAAAGGGAAAUAAGAUUGUGGCCUGCGUACAAUAACUCAUUAAUUGAGCCUCCAGCAAUGACAAAACAACCUAGGAGAUGCAAGAUGAACAGAAGAAGGGACAAAGAUGUACCAAAGAAGAACAAAAUAGGAAAAUACUCAAGAAGAGGGGUUUAAAUGAAUUGCAGCCUGUGUAAAACCUCAGGGCCAUAAUAAGAAAGGGUGUCCAAUGAAGGGUAGAAGCCAAAAUGAGAGGUAGAGUAGUAAUGAAAUAUACAACUGUGAAUAUGGAGACUUCAACUUCAACCUCAACAGGAGUAAAUGUGAGGAGGUCUAUACCAAAUCAUAUGCAACAAGCAAUUCAAGAUUUUGGAAAUCAGGACAGAGGUAAUGCAAAUGUAAGUGGCAGAAACAAGUUAUGUUGGCUCUGUUGGAGCUUCAGUCAGAAUUGGGAGGAUUGAUGUAGUUGAUAACAAUGCCAAUUUAGGGGGUAGGCAAAGUAAUAAGAAUGUGAACCUUAGUAGUAGUGACUUACCAUCAAAUUCUAGUGGACAUGGAAGGGUGAAUAUUGGAAUUGGAGGAGGUGGAUCUGACAACAAUGGAGUUGGAAUUUAGAAUGUCACUGGCAGUGGAGUUGGAAGGGGCAGGGGAAUGGGAUGGUGUAAUCUAAGCACAGGUAGUAAAAGAUCAUAUGAUGGUCCAAUGAUUGCAUCAAAUGCUAAGAGGAAACGUCAAGAACAUUGGAAUGAGAGUACUGUCUAAUGAAAGAACUGGUGUUACAACCAAAAAGACUCUUUCUAGACCUUCAAGGAUAAUUCGCACGCUUGCUCAGGUGAAGAGCUCUGCUGUUGUGAUAGGGGAUUUAGGCUUCAAGCCUCGAGGCCUUAAAUGGAAAGGGAAGAAUGCAAUCACAGUAAGACAACUGCAUCAAGAGAGAACGGACAUGUAAAAAAUGAGGAACCAACAACGGCAACAACCUAGGAGUCAAGGCAACAUCAACCCAAGCCAACAGAGUGGCAACCAAUGAAUUAACUUCUAGAAUUAUGACCUAGUUUAUUUUUGCCUGUGUUGAACGUGGACACGCAACUUUUUAAUGACUGCAUAUUUUGGUCCAUUAGAUAAGUGAAUGGAUUUGAUAGUAAAUUAUUGUGCUUUGGUAAUGUGGUAUGUUACAAUUGUAGGCAUGAACAAUAUUUGUCGAAGAUAAACAAAAU